UGGGUUUUUAGUAGUUGAUUUGGGGGGAUUGCGAACUGGAUGCUGGUGAUUUCGAUUUUGGACCUUCUUUUAGAGCAAGUAGCCAAGUAUUCAACUAGCUCGAGGUAUUACUUGAUCUAGUAUCGUUGGUUUGUCUGCAUACGGGCGAGGUUAGUUUUCAUGUGGGGUUUUACUAUCCGUGUCCACGGAGUGCUUUGGUGGAUGUUCUGUUCGGUUGUGAUUAUGGUUGUCGUCGCUGAAUUCACCGCUAGAAUCUAGGGAUGCUGAUAUUUAAUGCUCUGUGCCCUUUCUAACUACAUCUGGUUGUCUGUGGCUGCUUCUGAGUCCUUCGUGUGAACUAGUGAAGAUUUUGGCUGCUACUUGAUCUUUUAGUUUUUUAUUAGUAUAGUCUGUUGGAUAUCUGAAUAUUGGCUUGGGGUUCGGACUUGGCAUAGGAAACUCUUCGUACUGUUGGGCUCUGCGACUCUAGCUUCAGUUGCGGUUUGGCAUUUAUGUUUCGAACUUUAUAUGUUCCGGUUUAGCUUCAGUUGCGGAACUGGAUUGUGCACGGCUGCCCAUGAAUUGAUUGGCUUAAUACAUCUAUUUGUCUGGAUUCCAUCUUCGUAAUUUGGAGUCUGCUUACAUUUUGUUUAUCCAUUUUCCAUGGUUCUAUUCUGAUGCUGAGGCCUUGUUUAGUUUCCAAAAAUUUUCAAGAUUCUCCGUCACAUCGAAUCUUGCGGCACAUGCAUGAAGCAUUAAAUAUAGACGAAAACAAAAACUAAUUACACAGUUUACCUGUAAAUUGCGAGAUGAAUCUUUUGAUCCUAGUUAGUCUAUGAUUAGAUAAUAUUUGGCACAAACAAACGAAAGUGCUACAGUAGCGAAAUCCAAAAUUUUUCUCAAACUAAACAAGGCCUGAAGUUUAAGAGGUAUACAUAAAUGAACUAUAUAUGGCUCCUCUACUUGUUAGGGUUAUGUUGAUGUUAUUCAUGGUUCUAUUCCAAUCCCAUCUGUUUUAUGUUAUGGAUCCUUAAGUCAUAAAUCGUGUUUUCGUAGUUUCAGUAGGACAUCUGAAUCAUUCUUCGGGGAUUUGCACAUGGCCCUGGAAUUAAGUGUGCACUAUUGGGCUCUGAGUCUAGCUUAUGCUCUAGAUUAGCUUUUAUGCUUUGACUGUAUAUGUUCUGAUUAUUUUAAUUUGAUAGAACCCUAGUGCCAUGAACUUUUUUUAUUCUAAAUUUAGUUGUUUAUCUGGAUCACUUACUUUUUGCUUGGCACCCACGAUGCAUUUCCAGUCCUUAAGUUUAAGAGGUAGUUAAUGAACAUUAC
rnacentral:lncRNA from 1 species